UUUUCUGUUAGGACAUGUGGGUGGGUGUGAUUCACCAUGUCACAGGGAAGCAUGAGUGGACCCGUGGCAAAUGUGACCAUGGACCACUUGAUGCAACGACCUGUGAUAAAGAGCUCAUGGUGCCAGGAUCUCCACCACACGAGGCUCUUCAAUGAAUCAUGUUCAACAGACGCUGGUUGAAGGAUGUCACCAAGUAUCUGACCUUUAGGUCAACUUCAGAACUGGAGAGUUUCCAGAACUGCAUUCUCAUGUAUGCUGGAAAAAGGUAAUUUUAUUUAGAAGCGAUUUGUACAUUAUUUGUUAUAAUUACUAACUGAAAUUAUUACAUUUUACAGGUUAUGAAUGACAAAUAGAAAUAUCUAGCAUGUGUUACGUCCUAGCAAAAUAAGUCCCUUGAAAAUUAUGUGGUUCAAUUUUUAUAAAUCUCGUCCCCCCUCUCCAUGCAAAACAGGUUUGUCUUCUCUCCUCCUGUCUAUGAAGCCAGGUGCCUUCUUGCUGCAUUGGAUUACAACCACCACAACCACCGACCAGAUUAUAUAACCCGGAAAAAUGAGAAGUCAUACAAGCGGCUCUACAGCAAAAAGUCACAAAAUUACCGCGUACAAGUGGUCAAGGUUGCCAAAGACUACAGCUACAUCCCUGAACUUCAGCGUUGCAUCCUCAGAAAACGUAUGGAUGGAGGGGCGCUCCCAAGAAAGGCAAAACGCAACCCCGAUGACCCAAGAAAUCUUGGGAAUUUAGCUGGAGUUGUGGCACCCCCCACGGCAGAACUGGUCCAGACACAAAUUCGCAGAGGACAGGUGUGUCAUUCACCAAAAUCCCACAUUUCUUG